CUUCACUUCCUCUUUUUUAAGCCCUGGAAGAUCUGCCUUGAAGACAUGGGCUUCUGGUGUCUCUUUCCAAUCCACGCGGGUGUUUACAAAAGCUGAAUUUUCAUGAGAAAGGAGAGAAUUUGAGGUGGAAGUGAAAGGAGAGAAGUCCUUGAACGGAUUCCAAAUAUCAAAAGAAGAGAAUGGAUCGAUAAUGCUUCUGCCUCGGUGGUUGUCUAAGAAGCUUGGAAUCAUUUCCAUCUUUUCCAGAAAAUCUUGUAGCUUGAUGGGUUGCUGUUAAUCACCUGACUGGUUCCUUGUUCUUGAUUCUCGAUGUCAUGUGAGAGGCGACACGGAUUGGUAUUUAUAAUAAGUAAACGAGCCAUCUGGUACAUUCUGGACGGUCGCCUUGGACCCUGUUUCAGGAAAAAUCUGGGUCCACACCCAGAUUUUAAUUUGAGAAAUUGAGGAACUUACUCGAAAGUUCCUGUUUCUUUGUGGCUGUAGAUUUAAACUGUGGGCCGAUUGGGCUGGAAUAUAUAAUGGGCCUAAGCCUUGGUUUCGUAUUUUGCUUUUGGGCUUUGUAAUGUUUGAUUUCCCUUUUGUAUACAACAGAUGAUUUUUCUUUUGUAUCAGUUUAAUAUAGGGGUGAUUUAUGGAUUCCGUUUUAAGAUCCCAGUAAAAAAUUUCAUUAAGUUGUUUAUGGGUUGGGAAAGCUCUUGGUGAAGACAACCCAUGGAUCAUUGUAAAUAAAAUUCAAUAGUAACUUUGAAAAGCUUAAAAAAUUGUAAAAAUAAUUUCAUUAAGUUGUUUAUGGGCCUGAGCCUUGGUUUCGUAUUUUUUAAUAUUUUUUAAUAUAUUAAUAUCAAAAAUAAAUUUAAAAAAAUAAAAACUAUAUAAUUUUAAUAUAUUUCUAAACAAAAACUAUCUAAAAAAGCAAUUUCUACUCCUAUUUUAUACCACCCCUGAAAUAUAUGAAUUUAUUUGGAAGUAUGGUUGCGGUUGUUUUUCAAAGUGUUUUUCACUCAGAAAUAUAUCAAAAUAAUAUUUUUUUUUAUUUUUUAAAAAUUAUUUUUGAUAUGAGCGUAUCAAACUGAUUUAAAAACACUAAAAAAUAUUAAUUUGAAGCAAAUAAAAAAAUAUAAAAAAUUUAAUUUUUUUAAAAUACUUUUGAAAUGAAAAAAAAAAAAUAUGUAUCUCAGUUUGAAAAUGACCAUUAGUUUACAAUGUAUAUGGUAUCGUUUUCAGCUCGUUCACUUAAGAAAUUAUGGGUCACCUUCAACUCUAAUUUCCAAAAGAAAAUAACAAAACUAAACAGCCAAGAAAGAUGGGACGAUGCAUUUUGGCACAGGGCCAAAAGCCAAACUACUCGCCUUCCUAGGAAUUACUUGCACGCACCCACUUCUUCCUAUCCUACAGCCUUCUUGCGCAUGAGCUCAAUUCUCUGGAAAAAAUAUUUCAAAUUCCGGUUGCACAUACCAUCUUAACACAGACAGACUUCAAUGGCAACAUUAGGGUGCAAUGACACUGAUGCGAAGAAAACUGAAGUCGAAAGCUUGCAGGUUCUUAGACCUGUGGGCUCCCAAGGCGGAGGAACUGAAGGACUUCCUUAUCUGUACCAUCGACCAAUGCACAAAGGUCUAGCAAAGGCAGAUGAUGAUUAUGUCACCGAGGCAUUCAAACAACUUCCUAUGCCAGAUCAAGAGAAACUUAUAGAAGAACUUUCUAGCCAGCUUCAUCAAGAUGUUAUGGUUGAAAAGUUGUUCGACGAGAGUGAAGAAGCUUAUAGACUAAGAUGUUUCACAGAGCUGCAUAUGAAGCUUCCAUCGGAUAGCCGCCAAGGUUUCAAUAACGAAUUUCGCCGGAGAUACUAUUCAAUCAGAGGUUCUUCUUUACAGUCCCUACAUUGAUGCUUGGUGUUUGGUUAUGGUUACCAAAGUCAAAGCCCAAAAUCAUUUUAUUUUUUUUGGAAAUUGAUUAUUAGCACCAAUUAGCAACAGAGAAUAACAAUCCAGAAUUUUUAAAAAUCAAUUAUGCACUAGUAUCGUUUUAAUUAAAUAAUGCUUUUUUUAAUGUUAAAAACACUUAAGAAUUAACAAUAUUUAAUAAUUUUCUCCAACUGCAGAUACAUAAACUUACAAAUCGAGGUGUUUUGCAGGGUUGCCAUUGAAGCUUCCCUUUAAUAGCUACAAUAGAUUCAAGAAUAAUUACAAUCAGUGUUAUCCUUGCAAUACUAUAGGCACACAAGUUUCUGGAACAAUUGUUUCUGGGAUAUGUGAAGGAUUUGGUCAGCAGAUCGUUCAACAGAUUUUUGAAGGUAUAGUAGGUGGAAGUGAAGAGUCUUCUUUAACACUGGAGUUCUUCAAGGUGAAAACCCUGGAUUUGCGAGGAGCAAACGAAGUGGGAACCGGUACGACUUCUACAACCACUCGGUAAAAAUAGCAGGCUAUGGAAGGACGUUACAAAUUUGAUCGUGGCAAUCAAAUAGAUAUGGUAGCUUUGGUGAGAAUCCGAGACUGUACUUUUGAUGUUUCUCCUGAGGUCUUUUGUUGCUCUUAUGAAGCCUUCAGGAUGAUUUUGAUUCUAUCUGUAUGAAGUAAUACCUAUAAACUACUAAUUAUUGUAAGACGUGAUAUAUUUAUUGUAACACAGGAUGAGAUUUUAAUGCUAUGAUAAAUUUGUGAUUAUAGCGUUGGCUUGAUGGGGUUUGGAUUUGCAGUUAAGAGAGCCUUCCUCUGUCGCCAGAAUUAAUGAUCUUUCAGAGGCACUCUAUGUUGAAGUUCAAGGCGAUAAAGAAAGUAUAAAAAUAUAUUGUAAAGAAACUUCACAGGAUUGUUGAAAGAAGUUCUCUGAUUUUGAGGGUUAUAUUAUUAUCUGAAAGCCGAAAUUUAAACUCGUGACAGGUAGUUAAAACUCUGAUAGUAUAGGACUAAUUCCUACGAAGACAAGAUGCCCAGAUGGUGUCUUUUGAAACCAGGCCAACACUCGAGGUACUAAACCUAGUACAGGACUCAAACUCACCACUAUACUUGGCAUACAAUGAUAUUUUGCAGACAAACGAGGCCGGCAUUUGUCUUCCUUAAGGCGUUCUCUCGUGAUGCAUUACAGGAAGAGGACAAAAGACGUGAAUGUAAGGUAGAAAAGAAAAUACCAACAGCAUUAUUGCCAAAACCUUUUGGGCGAAUGGCUAAGAACAUAUGAGAAUCACGAAAACAGUAAACUUACAAAAAGAAAAAGAUUAGCAAAACUGUUAUGUUACAUUCAUAAUAGAUUGAAUCCUUUGUGCACACUGACAGUAACAGAGAACUUCCAACAACUUAUAAAAACACAAAAGAAGAACAAUUCUUACAAACACAGAAUAUACAAUAGGCAUUCUCUCAUUCAGUUAACUAGAGAUGUCAAUCGCCUUGACUUCAGGUUUCUUGACUUCCUCUUUAGGCACAGUGACAGUAAGAACCCCGUUCUCCAUAGAAGCCUUGACAUGAUCCAUUUUCGCAUUCUCAGGCAGCCUGAACCUCCUCAGGAACUUGCCACAGCUACGCUCCACACGAUGCCAUGUAUCGUUCUGGUCUUCCUUCUCCACAUUCCUCUCUCCGCUGAUCUGAAGCACUCUGUCAUCUUCGAUUUCGACCUUCACUUCCUCUCUUUUUAGCCCCGGAAGAUCUGCCUCGAAUACAUGGGCUUCUGGGGUCUCUUUCCAAUCAAUGCGGGUGUUGACAAAGGCUGAGUUUUCACGAGAGAUGAGUGAAUGCGGGGAAGUGAAAGGGAAGUCUUUGAGUGGAUCCCAAACGUCGAAUGCAGAGACUGGGUCGAAAAUACUGUUGGCUCGUUGGUUGUAAAAGAAGCUUGGAAUCGUUGCCAUCUUUUACUUCUUUCUUCAGAAAAUUAACCUUCGUUUACCUGCUGCUAAUGUUUUGAUUGCUUCUUCUUGUUCUUGAUUUUUCUGUGCUAGAGGCGGGACAGGUCGGGUAUUUAUAAGUAAAGGAGGCAUCUGGUUUGUUCUGGACGAUCGAGUAGUACGCUGAACCAGGAAGAUUCUGGGUCCAACCAACAUCAGAUAAGAUCGAAGAACUUUCUCGUAAAUUCCAGAGUCCUCGGUUGUGAAUUGAAAAUGUGUGGAUUUGAUAUUCAAUUGGGUUUGAUUUUUUAAUGGGCUGAAGCCUUUGUUUUCCUAUUUUUCUCAUGGCCCAGUCUACUGUUAUCAUUGUUUUCUUUUUCAGUUUUCUUGCCUUAAAAGAUUUUCAGCUUAUUUUUACAUUUUAAAUGUAUUUUUAAACUAUUUUAUUUUAUUUUCUUUUAUUUUUUAAAAUUAAUUUUUAUAUGUUUUUAAACCAUUUUGAUGUAUUGAUGUUAAAAAUAAUUUUUUUUAAAAAUAAUAAAAAUAUUAUUUCAAUGUAUUUUCAAGUAAAAAUACUUUAAAAAUUAACCGAUAUCACAAUACCAGACAGACUUUUAAUACACGGAAGAUCUUGCAAACGAAUAAAAUAUAUAAAUUAUGAAAAUAAUAAUUUAAUGUAUAGACAUUUAAUUGAAAAGUACUUAGAUAUGUUCUUGAAUUAAGAAUCUAAUUUGAAACGGGCUUAAUUGAGUGCAAAGUAUAUAUAUAUAUAUAAUGAUUGAUAAUCACGUGUAGAAGUUGAAAACUAUCUAUUAUACUUUUAAUUAGAACCUUGUAUAAAUAAAAAUGACCGAUUGUUUACAGCAUUAAAAAUUCAUUUAAUAUUGUGAUAAUUUUUAUUUUUUUAAAAUAAUUGUUUUAUAAUUUUGAUAUAUUAAUAUUAAAAAAAAGUUAUUUUAAUAUAUUUUCAAAUAUAUAACCAACACUCCAGAUUAAAAAAUUCAAGGAUCUAGUUGCAUAAUAGCUUCGAUGUUAUGCUGAGCAGCUCAAAACUUAAAAACUAAUGGUCGUUGACUGAAAAUUCUCAGCACUUUAUUAUCCUGGGAAAUUCAAUAACUUCAAUGUUGCAUAUUUGAAAUCUAGUGGUUUCCAUGAUCUUUUGGACGGCUGGAUCUGUAUAAAGUAUCGUUGUCACUGCAUCCAUCUAUUAUCAACAAUGUGAUCGAUGGCAAUUAUCUCACCACAAUAUCAUGGGGCGUAGAAACAAGAUGCUGCAAGAAACCGAGUUCCAUCUCCAGAUUAUUCUAGCGAGGAAAUUCAAAAUAUACUCGAUUUGAUGAACAAUUUAUGUUCUGAAUGCAUCCUUCUAAUUCUUACGCCUCAAAGAGAUUUACAAAGGGAGGGAAGGGAACAUCAAAAAGCAAGAUACGCACAAAAUUACAAGCAACCGAGCAAGACUCAAGAAAUUUUAUAGCAAAACUUUUGAUUACAUUACUCCUCUCUGCAGACUGACGAGGAGACCAAACCUUUCAACUACUUGUAAAAGAGCACACAAAAACAAAAUAAACACACAAUUCUCAAAAGAGGUAUUAUCUCGUUCAACCAGAGAUUUCAAUAGCCUUGACAUCAGGUUUCUUGAUCUCUUCUUUAGGCACAGUCACAGUAAGAACUCCAUUUUCCAUAGAAGCCUUGACCUGAUCCAUUUUUGCAUUCUCAGGCAGCCUAAACCUCCUCAAGAACUUGCCACUGCUUCGCUCCACCCUAUGCCAUGCAUCGUUCUUGUCUUCCUUCUCCACAUUCCUAUCUCCGCUAAUCUGAAGCACCCUGUCAUCUUCAAUUUCGACCUUCACUUCCUCUUUUUUAAGCCCUGGAAGAUCUGCCUUGAAGACAUGGGCUUCUGGUGUCUCUUUCCAAUCAAUGCGGGUGUUGACAAAGGCUGAAUUUUCACGAGAAAGGAGAGAAUUUGAGGUGGAAGUGAAAGGGAACUCUUUGAGUGGAUCCCAAAUGUCGAAUGCGGAGAAUGAGUCGAAGAUGCUGCCGCCUCGGCGGUUGUUAAAGAAGCUCGGA
rnacentral:lncRNA from 1 species